AUGCAUAAUGGGCAGUAUGUCAUAUUAGUAUGGAAAGAAAGAAGUGAUGGUUUGGGCCUUCAGGCCGAGCCCUGUCGGUUUGGGCCUUCAGGCCGAGCCCUGUCGGUUUGGGCCUUCAGGCCGAGCCCUGUCGGUUUGGCCCUUCAGGCCGAGCCCUGUCGGUUUGGGCCUUCAGGCCGAGCCCUGUCGGUUUGGGCCUUCAGGCCGAGCCCUGUCGGUUUGGCCCUUCAGGCCGAGCCCUGUCGGUUUGGGCCUUCAGGCCGAGCCCUGUCGGUUUGGGCCUUCAGGCCGAGCCCUGUCGGUUUGGGCCUUCAGGCCGAGCCCUGUCGGUUUGGGCCUUCAGGCCGAGCCCUGUCGGUUUGGGCCUUCAGGCCGAGCCCUGUCGGUUUGGGCCUUCAGGCCGAGCCCUGUCGGUUUGGGCCUUCAGGCCGAGCCCUGUCGGUUUGGGCCUUCAGGCCGAGCCCUGUCGGUUUGGGCCUUCAGGCCGAGCCCUGUCGGUUUGGGCCUUCAGGCCGAGCCCUGUCGGUUUGGGCCUUCAGGCCGAGCCCUGUCGGUUUGGCCCUUCAGGCCGAGCCCUGUCGGUUUGGCCCUUCAGGCCGAGCCCUGUCGGUUUGGCCCUUCAGGCCGAGCCCUGUCGGUUUGGGCCUUCAGGCCGAGCCCUGUCGGUUUGGGCCUUCAGGCCGAGCCCUGUCGGUUUGGCCCUUCAGGCCGAGCCCUGUCGGUUUGGCCCUUCAGGCCGAGCCCUGUCGGUUUGGGCCCUCAGGCCGAGCCCUGUCGGUUUGGCCCUUCAGGCCGAGCCCUGUCGGUUUGGCCCUUCAGGCCGAGCCCUGUCGGUUUGGGCCCUUCAGGCCGAGCCCUGUCGGUUUGGGCCCUCAGGCCGAGCCCUGUCGGUUUGGCCCUUCAGGCCGAGCCCUGUCGGUUUGGGCCUUCAGGCCGAGCCCUGUCGGUUUGGCCCUUCAGGCCGAGCCCUGUCGGUUUGGCCCUUCAGGCCGAGCCCUGUCGGUUUGGCCCUUCAGGCCGAGCCCUGUCGGUUUGGGCCUUCAGGCCGAGCCCUGUCGGUUUGGGCCCUCAGGCCGAGCCCUGUCGGUUUGGGCCCUCAGGCCGAGCCCUGUCGGUUUGGCCCUUCAGGCCGAGCCCUGUCGGUUUGGGCCUUCAGGCCGAGCCCUGUCGGUUUGGGCCUUCAGGCCGAGCCCUGUCGGUUUGGCCCUUCAGGCCGAGCCCUGUCGGUUUGGCCCUUCAGGCCGAGCCCUGUCGGUUUGGCCCUUCAGGCCGAGCCCUGUCGGUUUGGGCCUUCAGGCCGAGCCCUGUCGGUUUGGGCCCUUCAGGCCGAGCCCUGUCGGUUUGGCCCUUCAGGCCGAGCCCUGUCAGUGCUGUCGUGGAGUUGUUUAG
rnacentral:lncRNA from 1 species